CAGCCGCCGCGGUAAUACAGAGGGCGCGAGCGUUACCCGGAUUUACUGGGCGUAAAGGGCGUGUAGGCGGCCUGGGGCGUCCCAUGUGAAAGGCCACGGCUCAACCGUGGAGGAGCGUGGGAUACGCUCAGGCUAGAGGGUGGGAGAGGGUGGUGGAAUUCCCGGAGUAGCGGUGAAAUGCGCAGAUACCGGGAGGAACGCCGAUGGCGAAGGCAGCCACCUGGUCCACUUCUGACGCUGAGGCGCGAAAGCGUGGGGAGCAAACCGGAUUAGAUACCCCUGUAGUCCCUGUCUCUUAUAU
rnacentral:rRNA from 1 species